rnacentral:rRNA from 1 species
GACGAACGCUGGCGGCGUGCUUAACACAUGCAGGUCGAACGGAAAGGCCCUGCUUUUGUGGGGUGCUCGAGUGGCGAACGGGUGAGUAACACGUGAGUAACCUGCCCUUGACUUUGGGAUAACUUCAGGAAACUGGGGCUAAUACCGGAUAGGAGCUCCUGCUGCAUGGUGGGGGUUGGAAAGUUUCGGCGGUUGGGGAUGGACUCGCGGCUUAUCAGCUUGUUGGUGGGGUAGUGGCUUACCAAGGCUUUGACGGGUAGCCGGCCUGAGAGGGUGACCGGCCACAUUGGGACUGAGAUACGGCCCAGACUCCUACGGGAGGCAGCAGUGGGGAAUAUUGCACAAUGGGCGGAAGCCUGAUGCAGCAACGCCGCGUGCGGGAUGACGGCCUGCGGGUUGUAAACCGCUUUCGCCUGUGACGAAGCGUGAGUGACGGUAAUGGGUAAAGAAGCACCGGCUAACUACGUG